rnacentral:rRNA from 1 species
AUUGAACGCUGGCGGCAGGCCUAACACAUGCAAGUCGAGCGAGCGGCGGACGGGUGAGAAAUGGACGGGGACCUGCCCGCCAGUAGGGGAUAACUACUGGAAAAGGUGGCUAAUACCGCACACUAUCGGAUGAACCCAUAUGGGAUUAGCUAGUAGGUGGGGUAAAGGCUCACCUAGGCGACGAUCUCUAGCUGGUCUGAGAGGAUGAUCAGCCACACUGGGACUGAGACACGGCCCAGACUCCUACGGGAGGCAGCAGUGGGGAAUAUUGGACAAUGGGCGCAAUCCUGAUGCAGCCAUGCCGCGUGUAUGAAGAAGGCCUUAGGGUUGUAAAGUACGUUCAGCGGGGAGGCGUUACCCGCAGAAGAAGCACCGGCUAACUCCGUGCCAGCAGCCGCGGUAAUAC